rnacentral:rRNA from 1 species
UACAGAGGUCUCAAGCGUUUGUUCGGAUUCAUUGGGCGUAAAGGGUGCGUAGGCGGCGCGGUAAGUCGGGUGUGAAAUCUCGGAGCUUAACUCCGAAACUGCAUUCGAUACUGCCGUGCUUGAGGACUGGAGAGGAGACUGGAAUUUACGGUGUAGCGGUGAAAUGCGUAGAUAUCGUAAGGAAGACCAGUGGCGAAGGCGGGUCUCUGGACAGUUCCUGACGCUGAGAAGCGAAAGCAUGGGGAGCGAACAGG